rnacentral:lncRNA from 1 species
AUGGGCUGGGGAGCCCGCAGGCCCGGGCUCUAGGCGCUGACCAGGCCGCCUGGGAGCGGCCGUCCUUCUCCGCAGACGUUUACUGGGGGCCUACUGUGUGCCAGACCCGGUUCUAGCACGAGAGGGAGCAAAACGACAAAAUCCCUGGCCUCCCCGCCCAACACUCUAGAUAGAGGGACAGAUAAAUACGUUUUGUUUUUUUUUUUCAGUGUUUAAAGCACCUUUAAUCGCAAGAUAAAUACGUUUUUAAAAAAUAGUGAAGCCUGUCGGAUGGUGAUACAUUCUGAGUCCAAUAAUAAUAAUAAUAAUAAUAAUAAUAAUAAAAUAGAGCAGGAGGUAGGAGGUGCUGGGGUGCUCGAGUUGGGGGCGUUACACAGGGGGUCAAGAAGGUCACGCUGACCAGAUGACGUGAGGCACCAAGAGGAGGAGGGGGGCAGGCAGCCUGGGCACAGGGGUCCCAGGGAGAGCUCAGGGUCUCUCCCGACAGCCUGCGGGGCCACCUGAGCCUGCGCCCUGUACCCCCAGGCCCUAGAAGUAGGACGGUGACACGGGAGGUGAGUACACGGCCGCUUCCUGGAUGGACACUCACAGCAAAAGGGGAGGUCUUGGGUGGCCUCCAGUCCAGCAGAUCUUUGCCCUUUGAGAGGUUCUAGAACACUCUGGAAAGUUCUAGAAACCCUACCCCCACGCCCACCCAGCCCCGGAACUACACAUAACUCGGGAGGUCCGGAUACCUCUCAGAUGGCAGCGGGGCGAGGCUCAGGGAGGGUGAGUGAGGAGCCCGGGAUCACACAGCAGCGCGGGCAGCCCUCCCCGCCCACCCCCUGCGCGGCCGGAGGUUGCGCGGUUGUCUUGGCCGUUGAUUCAUAACGCUCGGCAGAACAGAAACAACCAGCUUGGCAAAACCGGGAGGCCCAGCUGAGUCACAGACGCCGAUGCCAGUGCCGAGCGCAGGACACGGAGGAGGGGACACCGCAGCGGGACCGGUGGGGGCCGCGGCCUAACGUCCUCCGUGGCUCCCACUGGCCUCAGGGCAAAGCCCCAGCUGCUCCCUCGGCCCCCCCAGCGGCGGCCUCGGGCACCCUGAGUGUCCCCAGCUUCAAAAUAAAUCUUCCUUCCGGUCCCUUAACCGGCGAGCUGCUUCCUUCCCCGUGCCAGGCGCCGUUCGGGACAUCUGUCACGUUUUAGUGCACGGGGAAUACCAGGGCGAGCUUGUGCGCGUGUUUUUAAGACACGCGCACACACACAACACAUAAAACAUGAAUAUAUAACCUAAUAAAUUCUUGUGAAACCCACGGCCACGUGAUCCGCAUCCAGGAGAAGCCGAAGCACGUCGUCAGCCCCGGGAGGGGACCCAGAUGCGCCUCGCUUCUGCCCCACGGUCCCCGCUGCUGCGACCCCGCCGUCUUCCUGUGCCCGCGGGUAGUUUUUGGUCGGAAGAUUGAUCUCAUCCUUCAUUUCUCAGGUUUACGCGGUGCUGUAUUCAUCAUCGGGGCCCUAGGAGCUGGGGCUUUUUA